UACGGAGGGGGCUAGCGUUGUUCGGAAUUACUGGGCGUAAAGCGCACGUAGGCGGCUUUGUAAGUUAGAGGUGAAAGCCCAGGGCUCAACCCUGGAAUUGCCUUUAAGACUGCAUCGCUUGAAUCAUGGAGAGGUGAGUGGAAUUCCGAGUGUAGAGGUGAAAUUCGUAGAUAUUCGGAAGAACACCAGUGGCGAAGGCGACUCACUGGACACGGUAUUGACGCUGAGGUGCGAAAGCGUGGGGAGCAAACAGG
rnacentral:rRNA from 1 species